rnacentral:rRNA from 1 species
UACAGAGGGGGCAAGCGUUAUUCGGAAUUAUUGGGCGUAAAGGGUGCGUAGGCGGCGUGGUAAGUCGGGUGUGAAAUCUCGGAGCUUAACUCCGGAACUGCAUUCGAUACUGCCGUGCUUGAGGACUGGAGAGGAGACUGGAAUUUACGGUGUAGCGGUGAAAUGCGUAGAUAUCGUAAGGAAGACCAGUGGCGAAGGCGGGUCUCUGGACAGUUCCUGACGCUGAGGCACGAAGGCCAGGGGAGCAAACGGG